CCUACGGGAGGCAGCAGUGGGGAAUUUUGCGCAAUGGGCGAAAGCCUGACGCAGCGACGCCGCGUGGAGGAUGAAGGCCUUCGGGUCGUAAACUCCUGUCUUGCGGGAAGAAAGGCAAGGGUGCUAAUACCACCUUUGUUUGACGGUACCGCAGGAGGAAGCACCGGCUAACUCCGUGCCAGCAGCCGCGGUAAUACGGAGGGUGCGAGCGUUGUUCGGAAUUAUUGGGCGUAAAGCGCGUGUAGGCGGUUGGUGAAGUCUGAUGUGAAAGCCCCGGGCCCAACCUGGGAAGGGCAUUGGAUACUGGCAGACUGGAGUACGGGAGAGGAGAGUGGAAUUCCAAGUGUAGGAGUGAAAUCCGUAGAUAUUGGGAGGAACACCGCUGGCGAAGGCGGCUCUCGGGACCGAUACUGACGCUGA
rnacentral:rRNA from 1 species